AUUGAACGCUGGCGGCAUGCCUUACACAUGCAAGUCGAACGGUAACGCGGGGGCAACCCUGGCGACGAGUGGCGAACGGGUGAGUAAUACAUCGGAACAUGUCCAGUAGCGGGGGAUAACCUGUCAAAAGAUAGGCUAAUACCGCAUACGAUCUACGGAUGAAAGCGAGGGACCGCAAGGCCUCGCACUAUUGGAGUGGCCGAUGUCGGAUUAGCUAGUUGGUGAGGUAAAAGCUCACCAAGGCGACGAUCCGUAGCUGGUCUGAGAGGACGAUCAGCCACACUGGAACUGAGACACGGUCCAGACUCCUACGGGAGGCAGCAGUGGGGAAUUUUGGACAAUGGGCGCAAGCCUGAUCCAGCCAUGCCGCGUGAGUGAAGAAGGCCUUCGGGUUGUAAAGCUCUUUCGGUGAAGACGAAACGGUUAGCGUUAAUAGCGCUGACUAAUGACGGUACUCACAGAAGAAGCACCGGCUAACUACGUGCCAGCCGCCGCCGUAACAC
rnacentral:rRNA from 1 species